rnacentral:rRNA from 1 species
AUUGAACGCUGGCGGCAUGCUUUACACAUGCAAGUCGGACGGCAGCACAGAGAAGCUUGCUUCUUGGGUGGCGAGUGGCGUACGGGUGAGUAAUAUAUCGGAACGUACCGAGUAAUGGGGGAUAACUAAUCGAAAGAUUAGCUAAUACCGCAUAUUCUCUGAGGAGGAAAGCAGGGGACCUUCGGGCCUUUCGUUAUUCGAGCGGCCGAUAUCUGAUUAGCUAGUUGGUGGGGUAAAGGCCUACCAAGGCGACGAUCAGUAGCGGGUCUGAGAGGAUGAUCCGCCACACUGGGACUGAGACACGGCCCAGACUCCUACGGGAGGCAGCAGUGGGGAAUUUUGGACAAUGGGCGCAAGCCUGAUCCAGCCAUGCCGCGUGUCUGAAGAAGGCCUUCGGGUUGUAAAGGACUUUUGUCAGGGAAGAAAAGGCUGUUGCUAAUAUCGACAGCUGAUGACGGUACCUGAAGAAUAAGCACCGGCUAACUACGUG